CCUACGGGUGGCAGCAGUGAGGAAUAUUGGUCAAUGGGCGAAAGCCUGAUCCAGCCAAGCCGCGUGAAGGAUGAAGGAUCUAUGGUUUGUAAACUCCUUUUAUAUGGGAGUAAAGUGAGGAACGUGUUUCUUUAUGUACGUCUCAUAUCAAUAAGGAUCGGCUAACUCCGUGCCAGCAGCCGCGGUAAUACGGAGGAUGCGAGCGUUAUCCGGAUUUAUUGGGUGUAACGGGUGCGUAGGCGGUUCACUAAGUCAGAGGUGAAAGCCUGUGGCUCAACUAGAAAAUUGCCUUUGAAACUGGUUGGCUAGAGUGUAGGUGAGGUAGGCGGAAUGCAUGGUGUAGCGGUGAAAUGCGUAGAUAUCACGCAGAACACCGAUUGCGAAGGCAGCCUACUAAACUAUGACUGACGUUGAGGCACGAAAGCGUGGGGAGCAAACAGGAUUAGAUACCCUAGUAGUC
rnacentral:rRNA from 1 species